rnacentral:rRNA from 1 species
UACGAAGGGGGAGCUAGCGUUGCUCGGAAUCACUGGGCGUAAAGGGCGCGUAGGCGGAUCUUUAAGUCGGGGGUGAAAGCCCAGGGCUCAACCCUGGAAUUGCCUUCGAUACUGAAGAUCUCGAGACCGGAAGAGGUAAGUGGAACUGCGAGUGUAGAGGUGAGAUUCGUAGAUAUUCGCAAGAACACCAGUGGCGAAGGCGGCUUACUGGUCCGGUUCUGACGCUGAGGCGCGAAAGCGUGGGGAGCAAACAGG